rnacentral:rRNA from 1 species
CAGCAGCCGCGGGAAUACGUAGGGUGCAAGCGUUAAUCGGAAUUACUGGGCGUAAAGCGUGCGUAGGCGGUUUGUUAAGUCUGUUGUGAAAUCCCCGGGCUCAACCUGGGAAUGGCAAUGGAUACUGGCAAGCUAGAGUGUGUCAGAGGAUGGUGGAAUUCCCGGUGUAGCGGUGAAAUGCGUAGAGAUCGGGAGGAACAUCAGUGGCGAAGGCGGCCAUCUGGGACAACACUGACGCUGAGGCACGAAAACGUGGGGAGCAAACAGGAUUAGAUACCCGUGUAGCCUGUCUCUUAUACAC